GUGCCAGCAGCCGCGGUAAGACGAACCGUGCGAACGUUGUUCGGAUUCACUGGGCUUAAAGGGCGCGUAGGCGGUACGCCAAGUCUGGGGUGAAAUCUUUCGGCUCAACCGGAAAAUUGCCUGGGAUACUGGCGUGCUCGAGGGAGGUAGGGGCAGCGGGAACUGCCAGUGGAGCGGUGAAAUGCGUUGAUAUUGGCAGGAACGCCGGUGGCGAAAGCGCGCUGCUGGACCUCUUCUGACGCUGAGGCGCGAAAGCUAGGGGAGCAAACGGGAUUAGAAACCCUCGUAGUCC
rnacentral:rRNA from 1 species